rnacentral:piRNA from 1 species
GCCGGAUGAUGCUGGCCUUCCUGGUGCUCAG